AACGCUAGCUACAGGCUUAACACAUGCAAGUCGAGGGGCAGCACGGGAGUAGCAAUACAACUGGUGGCGACCGGCGCACGGGUGAGUAACGCGUAUGCAACCUACCUAUCAGAGGGGAAUAACCCGGCGAAAGUCGGACUAAUACCGCAUAAAACAGGGGCACCGCAUGGUGAUUUUUGUUAAAGAAAUUCGCUGAUAGAUGGGCAUGCGUUCCAUUAGGUAGUUGGUGAGGUAACGGCUCACCAAGCCGACGAUGGAUAGGGGAACUGAGAGGUUGGUCCCCCACACUGGUACUGAGACACGGACCAGACUCCUACGGGAGGCAGCAGUGAGGAAUAUUGGUCAAUGGGCGGGAGCCUGAACCAGCCAAGUCGCGUGAAGGAAGAAGGAUCUAUGGCUCGUAAACUUCUUUUGCAGGGGAAUAAAGUGCAGGACGUGUCCUGUUUUGUAUGUACCCUGAGAAUAAGGAUCGGCUAACUCCGUGCCAGCAGCCGCGGUAAUACGGAGGAUCCGAGCGUUAUCCGGAUUUAUUGGGUUUAAAGGGUGCGUAGGUGGUUUGAUAAGUCAGCGGUGAAAGUUUGCAGCUUAACUGUAAAAAUGCCGUUGAAACUGUCGGACUUGAGUGUAAAUGAGGUAGGCGGAAUGCGUGGUGUAGCGGUGAAAUGCAUAGAUAUCACGAAGAACUCCGAUUG
rnacentral:rRNA from 1 species